rnacentral:rRNA from 1 species
CCUACGGGUGGCAGCAGUGGGGAAUAUUGGUCAAUGGGCGCGAGCCUGAACCAGCCAAGUAGCGUGAAGGAUGACUGCCCUACGGGGUGUAAAGAUCUGUCAGUGGGGACGAAACCUGACGGUACCCACAGAGGAAGCACCGGCUAACUCCGUGCCAGCAGCCGCGGUAAUACGGGGGGUGCAAGCGUUGUCCGGAAUCAUUGGGCGUAAAGAGUUCGUAGGUGGCACGUUAAGUCUGGUGUUAAAGGCGGAAGCUCAACUUCCGUAGGGCACUGGAUACUGGCGAGCUGGAAUGCGGUAGAGGUAAAGGGAAUUCCUGGUGUAGCGGUGAAAUGCGUAGAUAUCAGGAGGAACAUCGGUGGCGUAAGCGCUUUACUGGGCCGUAAUUGACACUGAGGAACGAAAGCCGGGGUAGCAAAUGGGAUUAGAUACCCGAGUAGUC